UGUGCAUACCCAAGACUGCUGUCUCCCGAACCCGUUUACGUUAACUAGUAUACAGGCAUACUAGUUAGUCCUCGCAGAGGGUGGUCCGCUUCUGGGCAGAGCAAUUCGGGUGUGCCUGGUCACAAAGGGCUGAUGGUAGAAGCAGAGCCUUAGCCUAGCAGGUGCCCCACAGAAGACGAAUACAUGGUCCCUGGCAGACCCUAGCCCAGCCGGCAGGGAGGUGCCUCUGCAGCCCGGCUUCUAAGAAUCUCGAAGGGGCCGGUGGAGCCCAAGAUGUGGGUGUGGCAUGGAGAGGGGGCGUGUGUGGUAUGAGCAGGGGUGUGUGACUGGAUGGGCGUGGGUGGAGCAGUAGCUGCUGCAAGACUAGCAUGGCUGAGCAAUCCGGAUGCUUCUUUAUGAACCUGUGGCCGAGUGAUCCGGGCACUGCCCACCCUCAGCUACCGAAGAGGAGAGGAGGUAACCCCUAGAGGACUCUGGGAAUCUAAGAAGCUCUGCUACUCCACCCAUCAAGCAGGCACCCAGCCGGGCCGUGACCGCCUCCUGCUCACCAACGCCAAGGCCGCACUUCCGGGCCGCGACGCCUCCGGAACCGAAGACGGCGACCUCUGCUGCGCAGGGGAGCACUAGGACAGAGCACGUUUCCGGUGUUUCUACGGAGAUAAACCGCCGCCUCCAGGUCGCACUUCCCGCUCUCGUGAGAGUAGGAAACAAAGUCGCAGAUGAUGGAGCCGCAGCGGCGCAAUGAAUCUCUGGGCUGGAGCACGCUUCCGGCGUCGCCCUGGAGACCAAAGCGGGGGCGGUGCCUGCGCUGUCAAUCGAGCCACGCCCUCGGGCGUGCACGGCCUGGGUGGAGACGGCCCGAAGUAAUGGAGGACUGGGUGUCGGUUAGUGACAGAAGUCCCCCGACCUGCCCGGCUGGUGUGAACCCCACUGCUACCCGGGAAGGCGGCCUUUCCCCCAUAACACGGGUGAGAGCAGGAGUAGGGCUCUCCCCAUCGCUUGUCGGACUCCACCCCGCGUGAGGCGCAGGCGAGAUACCCCUGCAACCGACCCCCCAGGAUCGCGGGCUGCGGGUGGGAUGGGGAGCGGACCCCAUCCGGCCCAGGCGCCCGCCUUCUGCCUCUGAGCCUGGGUCCCGAGGUGGAGGCAACCUGACUCGAUGUCCCCCACCCCCACCCUCAGACCAUCAGACGCACCUGCCCUGGAUAAAAAGUGAACAAAUGAAUGGAUAUUGAACUGAA